rnacentral:misc_RNA from 1 species
GAUGAAGAACGUAGCGAAAUGCGAUAAGUAAUGUGAAUUGCAGAUUUCAGUGAAUCAUCGAAUCUUUGAACGCACCUUGCGCCUUGUGGUAUUCCACAAGGCAUGCCCGUUUGAGUAUCAUUAAAUCAUCAACUCUAAAACCUUUGUGGUUUUUUUUAGAGCUUGGUCUUGAGGGUUUUGCAGGCUUUUUUUUUUUUUCGAGUUUGCUCCCUUUAAAUGCAUUAGCGAGACUUCCCUAUGCUGAACCGUCUCUUUGACGUGAUAAUUAUCUGCGUCGAAUUUUGGUUCUCGUUGGGCUUGCUUCUAAUCGUCUGUUAAAGACAAAACGGAUUUGGGUGCAUAUAUGCGCCUUUUUCCAAAACCUUUUUUUGAUCUCAAAUCGGGUAGGACUACCCGCUGAACUUAAGCAUAUCAAUAAGCGGAGGA